rnacentral:rRNA from 1 species
UGCAGCAGGCGCGAAACCUUCGCAAUACGCGAAAAGCGUGACGAGGUCACUCCGAGUGCCACUCGCUGAGAGUGGCUUUUUCCAAGUCUAAAAGCUUGGGGAAUAAAGGGAGGGUAAGUCUGGCGUCAGCCGCCGCGGUAAUACCAGCUCCCCGAGUGGUCGGGACGUUUAUUGGGCCUAAAGCAUCCGUAGCCGGUCCUGUAGGUCUUCUGUCAAAUCCAACGGCUCAACCGUUGGGCUGCAGAAGAUACCGCAGGACUAGGAGGCGGGAGAGGCGGACGGUACUCCAUGGGUAGGGGUAAAAUCCUUUGAUCCAUGGAAAGCCACCAGUGGCGAAAGGCGGUCCGCCAGAACGCGCUCGACGGUGAGGGAUGAAAAGCUGGGGGAGCGAACCGGAUUAGAUACCCGG